GCUUCUGUUGUUACCUGUGUGCUGGUGAGCCCAGGCUUUUACCUCCACCCCCAACCCGUAUUCUGAGGAGCAGAUUUCAGUGUCCAACUGCCAAGUGGUCAUCUGCACUGGCCUACAUCUGCCACACCUUGAGGAAGUUCCCUUCCUCCCUGUGAGCCUGAAUAGGCAAGACCCAGUGCUAGACCAGAAGACAACCCAUUUGGCUCCUGGACACACCUGGAAGAGCCCACAAGGCGAUCUGCCUGCAGGGUGUGCAGAGGAGGACGCAGGCAAGUAAGAGAAGGGAG